rnacentral:rRNA from 1 species
GACGAACGCUGGCGGCGUGCUUAACACAUGCAAGUCGAACGGAAAGGCCCUGCUUUUGUGGGGUGCUCGAGUGGCGAACGGGUGAGUAAAACGCGAGUAAACUGCCCUUGACUUUGGGAUAACUUCAGGAAACUGGGGCUAAUACCGGAUAGGAGCUCCUGAUGCAUGGGGGGGGUUGGAAAGUUUCGGCGGUUGGGGCUGGACUAGCGGCUUAUCAGCUUGUUGGUGGGGUAGUGGAUUACCAAGGCUUUGACGGGUAGCCGGCCUGAGAGGGUGACCGGCCACAUUGGGACUGCGAUACGGCCCAGACUCCUACGGGAGGCAGCAGUGGGGAAUAUUGCACAAUGGGCGGAAGCCUGAUGCAGCAACGCCGCGUGCGUGAUGACGGCCUUCGGGUUGUAAACCACUUUCGCCUGUGACGAAGCGUGAGUGACGGUAAUGGGUAAAGAAGCACCGGCUAACUACGUG